CGCGAAGCAUCAACGCGAUCAUUGCACGUUAGCGCGCGCCGCGUGUUCGUUACUCGCGCACGCGUGUAGAGACGAAUGCGCGUUGUACUCGCAUCUGUUUGCGAAAGUGUCGCCAGAACUCGAGGAAUACCUGCAGUCGCUUUGCAACGGUCUUUACGAGACGCUGCGGCCGCACAUCAUCCACAUCGUCCACCUGGAGACCCUGGCCGAGCUGUGUGUCAUCCUGCGCGUCGAGAUCAUCGAGGAGCAGGUCAAUAACGACCCGAGCCUGAGCGCGCUAGG